AUUUUUAUAAGAACUAAUUUAUAAUAAAACCUGCUCAAUGUAAUAUAAAUAGCUGCAAUUCAUUUGUACUAAGGUAGCAUAAUCAUUAGCUUUUUAAUUUAAAGAUAGAAUGAAAGGUUAAACGAAAUAAAACCUGUUUCAUUAAUUUAAAUUAAUUUAAAAUAAAAGUAAAAAUUCUUUUAAUAAAAGAAAGACGACAAGACCCUAAUAAACUUUUCAAUUUAACUGGGGAGGUUAAAUAAUAAAAACUUAAUUUUAUAAUACACUAAACUUAUAUAAAAUAAAGAUAAAGUUACUAUAGGGAUAACAGCGCUAUAUUAGAAUAAAGUUCCUAUUAAAUCUAAAAUUUACGACCUCGAUGUUGAAUUAAUUUAACUUUUUAAAGCAAAAUUUUUAAAAGAAGGUCUGU
rnacentral:rRNA from 1 species